GUUGCUCAAUAUUUUGCAGAGCUGGAGUGAAUGCUGAAAGACAGUAAUCAACAUUCAUGGAACUGUAAACAUCUGCUCGGCUCAAUCAUUUUGCAGAGAUGCCUCUUCAAUUUUGCCAGACAUGUGGAGCAGGUCAAUAUGCUGCACUUGCCAAUGCCGUAUGGGAGUGCUGGUCAGGGUUGCAACAUCGUAAAAUCUGCAACAACAACUGGGGCUGUGAUAUGUGAACAUGAGUUGUGAUCACUACUCAAAAGGCAAGAGAAAGUAAGCAGAGUAAGCAAAAGAACAUUCCCAACAGACAAACUUAUCAACGAGGCAGGAAUGUGGGUUGUGCCAUAUAGAAUUUUAUUCUGGUCAUUUAUAUGCACGGAGGGUUGGUUGACUGGAAACAAAAAUGCUCUUGGUCUGUUUCUGAUGUUGAUAUGUUACUCAGCCUAAAUAAAACUUUUCUUUGAAUCAGGUUAAUAAAAAGAGA